GAUGAAGAACGUAGCGAAAUGCGAAGUAAUGUGAAUUGCAGAAUUCAGUGAAUCAUCGAAUCUUUGAACGCACAUUGCGCCCGUCAGUAUUCUGGCGGGCAUGCCUGUUCGAGCGUCAUUACGCCCCUCAAGUCCCCUGUGGACUUGGUGUUGGGGAUCGGCGAGGCUGGUUUUCCAGCACAGCCGUCCCUUAAAUUAAUUGGCGGUCUCGCCGUGGCCCUCCUCUGCGCAGUAGUAAAACACUCGCAACAGGAGCCCGGCGCGGUCCACUGCCGUAAAACCCCCCAACUUUUUAUAGUUGACCUCGAAUCAGGUAGGACUACCCGCUGAACUUAAGCAUAUCAAUAAGCGGAGGA
rnacentral:misc_RNA from 1 species